CAAUGUUGACAAUCUCAUCAAAAGUGGUAUUUCCACUGUGCUUAAUGUUUUUCUGCUUCUUUCUGUCUGUUGGUGGUUCCAUGUGCUUAAUGCUUUU